rnacentral:rRNA from 1 species
AACGAACGCUGGCGGCGGGCUUAACACAUGCAAGUCGAGCGGAACCUCCCGGGUUUGCGGCGGUGCUGUGAGUGACAACUGGGAAUAAGCCCUUCACUAAGCUAUCGUUGAGUUUGAGAUGAGUUCAUAAAGCUUACGCUCAUACCGGGUAAGAUCUCCUGCUGCAGGAUGAGCCUGGGUAGGUUUAGGCGGUUGGGGAUGGACUGGCGGCUUAUCAGCUUGUUGGUGGGGUAGUGUCUUAGCAAGACUUUGACGGGUAGCCGGCCUGAGAGGGUGAACGGCAACAGUGGGAUUGAGAUACGGCACAGACUCCUACGGGAGGCAGCAGUGGGGAAUAUUGCACAAUGGGAGGAAGCCUGAUGCAGCAACGCCGCGUGCGGGAUGACGGCCUUCGGGUAGUAAACCGCUUUCGCCUGUGACGAAGCGUGAGUGACGGUAAUGGGUAAAGAAGCACCGGCUAACUACGUG